rnacentral:rRNA from 1 species
GACGAACGCUGGCGGCGUGCUUAACACAUGCAAGUCGAACGAUGAAGCCUUUCGGGGUGGAUUAGUGGCGAACGGGUGAGUAACACGUGGGCAAUCUGCCCUGCACUCUGGGACAAGCCCUGGAAACGGGGUCUAAUACCGGAUAAUACCUUCCCUCGCAUGGGGGUGGGUUCAAAGCUCCGGCGGUGCAGGAUGAGCCCGCGGCCUAUCAGCUUGUUGGUGAGGUAGUGGCUCACCAAGGCGACGACGGGUAGCCGGCCUGAGAGGGCGACCGGCCACACUGGGACUGAGACACGGCCCAGACUCCUACGGGAGGCAGCAGUGGGGAAUAUUGCACAAUGGGCGAAAGCCUGAUGCAGCGACGCCGCGUGAGGGAUGACGGCCUUCGGGUUGUAAACCUCUUUCAGCAGGGAAGAAGCGAAAGUGACGGUACCUGCAGAAGAAGCGCCGGCUAACUACGUGCCAGCAGCCGCGGUAAUACGUAGGGCGCAAGCGUUGUCCGGAAUUAUUGGGCGUAAAGAGCUCGUAGGCGGUCUGUCGCGUCGGAUGUGAAAGCCCGGGGCUUAACCCCGGGUCUGCAUUCGAUACGGGCAGACUAGAGUGUGGUAGGGGAGAUCGGAAUUCCUGGUGUAGCGGUGAAAUGCGCAGAUAUCAGGAGGAACACCGGUGGCGAAGGCGGAUCUCUGGGCCAUUACUGACGCUGAGGAGCGAAAGCGUGGGG